rnacentral:lncRNA from 1 species
UUGGGUUAGGUUUGGGAUUGUAAUUUGGGCCGGUGUGUUUUUUUUUUUGUUGUAAAUGGACUUUAUUUAUUUUUGUUUUUGGUUUGUUUUUGUUUGGGCCAAACAGAUUUGGGCCAUUACAAUAUGUAAUAGUUGAAAAUAAACUCUUUCUAAUUUUCUGUAGAAUAGCAAUCUCUUAAAGUUGUGUUAAUAGCUCUACCAGUGUCAUCUAUUUAUAGGAAGAGAGGGUAGAACCCUUA